CUUGUUACCACAUCAAGGUUCAGGAACAAUGAACCCAGAGCGGAUAUCCUCCACAUAGACAGGUGUUUCUUUUAAUUCCCCUUACAAACCUUUGUGAACUGCCUUUAUUGGCAACUAGGACGUUUUAAACAGUUUCUUAAAUGGCCUAAACUCUCAGAUGAAAAGAGAUGAAGGCUGUUUUUCUAGAGCAUCCACAAGAAAGUAACUACAUGAGGAAGAAGAAAAGAACAAGAGAAGUUGAAUUACUUGGGGUUCACUGGUGCCACCAGCACCCCUUCAUGUUGUUUUCCAUGACACUCUUUUAAUCAGCUCUCUGCUCUCCUUUUAUGAAGUCAUAAAUCAUUAUCUGACUGCAGUGAAAUAAUUUCACCGCCUCUCUGCUUUGUAACCAUAGCAGCUGGUCAAU